rnacentral:rRNA from 1 species
AAAGGGUUCGUAGGUGGACCUAUAAGUNGGUAUGAAAGACCGGAGCUCAACUCCGUGUUUGUGCUUGAAACUGUAGGUCUAGAAUCAGGGAGAGGUUAGCGGAAUUCUUAGUGUAGGGGUGCAAUCCGUAGAUACUAAGAAGAACACCAAAAGCGAAGGCAGCUAACUGGAACUGUAUUGACACUGAGGAACGAAAGCGUGGGGAGCGAAGAGGAUUAGAUACCCUCGUAGUCCACGCCCUAAACGAUGAUAACUAAGUGUUGGGAAUUGUCCCAGUGCUGUAGCUAACGCGUUAAGUUAUCCACCUGAGGAGUACGGUCGCAAGAUUAAAACUCAAAGGAAUAGACGGGGACCCACACAAGCAGUGGAUCACGUGGUUUAAUUCGACAAUAAACGGGGAAUCUCACCCAGACUAGACAUCCUAAGAAUCUCUGAGAAAUCAGAGAGUGCCUUUACGGGAGCUUAGUGACAGGUGCUGCAUGGUUGUCGUCAGCUCGUGCCUUGAGGUGUUCGGUUAAGUCCGUUAACGAGCGCAACCCAUGUCUUUAGUUAUUAUGUCUAAAGAGACUGCCUUGGUUAACAAGGAGGAAGGUGUGGAUGACGUCAAAUCAGCAUGGCUUUUACGUCUGGGGCUACACACAUGAUACAAUGGUAUGUACAAAGAGCAGCGAUACCGCGAGGUGGAGCCAAUCUUCAAAGCAUAUCUCAGUCCGGAUUGGAGUCUGAAACUCGACUCCAUGAAGUUGGAAUUGCUAGUAAUCGUGAAUCAGAUAUGUCACGGUGAAUGUGUUCCUGGGUCUUGUACUCACCGCCCGUCACGGCAUGGGAGUUAGUAAUAUCGG